UUUUUUCCCAAAGUAUACCGUUGAAAAUUUGGAUACUAAUUCUUCUAUCAAUAUGGUGUAAUAUGUGAUAAUUGUCUUUUUAAUUUCAUUUAAAUGAUUGUUUUAGAGGCAAUAAUUAUCUCAAUAUUUCAAUUCUUGGACUAUUUAAUUGCUCUUUUUGAUAGUAUAGUUGUAAAUAAAUAAAUAUUUUCUUGGGUUAGUUGUUUUAAUCAGGUUUAUAUUAAUUUAAGUUAAAUUUGGAUUCCAGGAGCAUGAAGAAGUGAUGAUGGUCGAAAGAACAGGAAGGAAAGGGGCAAAAAGACCAUGAUUCCAGCAUCUGGUUGUGGAGAAGCAAAUGGUGCUUAAGCCUGGAGUUGUUGGCACUUAAGCGCCACAAGCAAGAGGUUGACAAAGAGGAAAAGCAUCUAGCACUGAAGCGUCAGUUCCCUGCACUUAAGCGCCAAUCAGGAAGUAACAAGUUUGAUUUUCAUGGCACUUAACGCCUAUCUGUGUGUCAAGACUUAAUCUAUCACAUGUUGUACCUUGUUUAAGGGAUUUUCGUAUUACUGCUUUGCACUUUUUCGUUCUGCACAAUUGCAAAAACCCUUUUUGUUUUGUAAUAACUGUGAUAGUGACCUAUAAAGCUCUUUCAUGGCUUUUUCUCUUCAAUUCUUCAUUUCUCCAUGGAAUUUCUGCAACUUAAUGGCUAGGAGUAGCUAAAUCUAGAGUUAUUGGGGUUGGAUCUAGUGAGACUCAUGUAUUGCUUGUAAAUCCUAACUCUAUCCUCAUUUAAUAUUUUGCUUUUUUACUUUCAUGCUUAAAUUGCUCUAGGGCUUGACCACCCAUGAUAUGUGUUGAGUUGCUUUAUGGUUGAAAAACUCUUUUUAACACUUGAACUGAAGUAUAACUAUCGUUGAAUUAAGACCUAGGAAUGGGUAUAAAUUUAAUGACCUCCUUG
rnacentral:lncRNA from 1 species